UUCGAGCUUGCUAUCAUGCUUCGUUUCACCUGCAUUAGUUUCUUUCACAACAUAUUUUAAUCAUGGUGAUAAUGUCAACCUUGACCAAAAAGGUUGGUAAGGAUAUUUUGGGCGAUUGGGUGGAUCCAGACAUAUUGGAGAUUGUUUAAGCUUUUGUUCGUGAAGAUCUUUUUAAGCAAAAUUUGAUUGAUAUGGGUCCUGC
rnacentral:lncRNA from 1 species